AUGGACAUUUUUUGGUCCCAUGCCAGUACAAAAUGGAGAGACUGGGCCAAACUAUGUACAGAUCUUGUGGAGGUAAUCUCCAAUCGGCUGCUCGCCUCUCACAUUGCAGACUACAUCCGCUUUCGAGCAACUUGCAAGCCAUGGCGUGACUUCAUUGAUGACCCCCACACAUGUGAUGGGAUGGAUAUCCGCUUUCGCCCACGCAAUUGGAUCUCACUCGCUCAUUGUGCAUCCCCGUCACGCCGCACCCUUCUCAAUGUCAAUACCGGUGCCUGUACCAACAUUGACUUCCCGGAUCUAGACACCCACCAUCACCUCGGCACUGCCGAUGGCCUCCUUGUUCUUGGCCAUAAGCUCAAUAAUACCAUUUGUCUUAUCCACCCAUUCACACGUAAGAUCAUCGAGUUCCCUUCACGCUGCGCACCAUCCACAUCGAAUAGGCGCCUCCGAGUGAACUUAUCUGCCAUCCACGGUGCCGGCAUCGAUGACUCGACUGUUCCCAGUACGCUCGUUAUUAGCCUCAGAAAUGGUUUGCAUCAAGUUAUUUGUGCCAAGCCUAGUGAUGAGCUUUGGGCUUUUGUGCAAGCUAUCGACCAACGCUCAGCUAGCUCUCUUGAGAAGGUUAGAGGCCACUCACCAGUGACCUUUGGAGGGCGAUGCUACUUCACGACAUCGGACGCCAUAAUAAUGACAUUGGAUUUGAGCCCGGGGGUAGAACCACGUAUGGUUUGCCUCCUAGAUAAUGACCCACGGUUGGUGAACAAUCAUGAAACAAUAAUUUACUCCUAUCUUGUCAGGUCCCAUGAUCGAAUGCUCAUGGUGUGA
rnacentral:rRNA from 1 species